GACGAACGCUGGCGGCGUGCUUAACACAUGCAAGUCGACGAGCGGCGAACGGGUGAGUAAUACGUGAGUAACCUGCCCUCUUUUGGGAUAAGCCUUGGAAACGGGGUCUAUUACCGAAUAAUGGCGGAUGGGCUCGCGGCCUAUCAGCUUGUUGGUGGGGUGAUGGCCUACCAAGGCGGUGACGGGUAGCCGGCCUGAGAGGGUGACCUGCGAACUUGGGCAUGGGACAGACUCCAGACUCAGACGGGAGGGAGGAAUGGGGGAUAAUGGACAAUGGGCGGAAGCAGGAUGCAGCGGCGUGGCGUGAGGGAUGAAGGCUUGUGAGUUGUAAUCCGCUUGGGGUAUCGAACCGGUACGUGGAGAAGAAGCGCCGGCUAACUACGUGCCAGCAGCCGCGGUAAUAC
rnacentral:rRNA from 1 species